CUAAGGCCUGCGCUGGAAGCAGAGACUGAAUUCUUCUGGCCUGCCGCGAGGAGACCCGCGUCCUGCCCCCACCCCAGGGCGUUGGGCAGAGACCCGGAAGACUCCGUCCCUCGGUCCCUCUGGCUUGGUCCAAUCCCGCCUCGGGAAGCGCCUUCGUUACCUGCUCCUCGGCUCCCCACGGCCACAGAUGCAGGGCAGCCGCCUCCCGCCGGGGGAGGGAAGCCCCGGCCACCGCAGCCGCCGCUGCCCGCCCUCCUUCCCUCCCUCCCUCUGUCUCGCCCUCCCUCCCUCUCUCCCUCCCUUGCGCGCUGCCGCUCGCGGGGCCCUCCCGCGGGCAACCUGUUCUGGACCAAAUCCAGGUAUCUCCGAAAGAGAAAAAAGAAAGGACCGCUCACGUGGAAAAGAAAGAAAGAAAGACCCCUCACUGCAUUUAUUUGUCAUGCCCUGACCAGUGGUCGGCCUCAGUUCAGCCGCAGUGGACCCGGCCCCGCAGCUGCAGAGGUGUGCCGGGCCUGCUGCCUCGCCCACGCUGACCGCCGCGCCCCGCGCACUGCGCGCUCCGCACUCCCGGCCGCCGCCCCCCAGCAGCCCAAACACCAAACAGACCUCAAGGUCCUUCCUACAGACUCAACAUCCGGUUGCCUGCCUUGCCGCUGGCCUCUGCCUGGGAGCCCGCUUCGCUCCGUCUGCGGCCAAAGUCCACACACAAUCCACCUUGUCCGUGCUUUCGCGCCCGGCCCGGACACCCCUCCUAGCCAAGGCACCCGCCUGGCCACUCGGGCUGCGGCCCUUCCCCGGACUGCAAACAUCCUCCCCUCCAUGGGACCCACACAAAGCCCGUGCCCUGACGCUCCCACCCUCAGCCCCCGUCCCCGGCCGCCGCUGCCCUUCACCUGUUCUCGGGAAGGGCUGCAUCUCCGAGCCGAGGCAAGGCCGUGGGCCCGGGCAGAGUGUGCUGGGGAACCGAGGUCCCAGGGAGGCCACAGGGGAUCGGCCAGGCUGAGCCGAGCGGCAGCCGGCGAGGUGUCUCAGAGACCAAAGCUCUCCUUGGCAAGCUCUUGCCUUUUCCUCCUUCUCCCGCAAGUCUUAAACACUCACACGCCGAGAGUUCAGCUCUAUAAAUCCUGCUCCUCUUUCCCAUAUCAUAAUUAA
rnacentral:lncRNA from 1 species